GAUGAACGCUGGCGGCGUGCCUAAUACAUGCAAGUCGAGCGAAUGGAUUAAGAGCUUGCUCUUAUGAAGUUAGCGGCGGACGGGUGAGUAACACGUGGGCAACCUGCCCAUAAGACUGGGAUAACUCCGGGAAACCGGGGCUAAUACCGGAUAACAUUUUGAACCGCAUGGUUCGAAAUUGAAAGGCGGCUUCGGCUGUCACUUAUGGAUGGACCCGCGUCGCAUUAGCUAGUUGGUGAGGUAACGGCUCACCAAGGCAACGAUGCGUAGCCGGCCUGAGAGGGGGAGCGGACACACUGGGACUGAGGCACGGCCCAGACUCCGACGGGAGGCAGCAGUAGGGAAUCUUCCGCAAUGGACGAAGGUCUGACGGAGCAACGCCGCGUGAGUGAUGAAGGCUUUCGGGUCGUAAAACUCUGUUGUUAGGGAAGAACAAGUGCUAGUUGAAUAAGCUGGCACCUUGACGGUACCUAACCAGAAAGCCACGGCUAACUACGUGCCAGCAGCCGCCGUAA
rnacentral:rRNA from 1 species